CCUAGAGUUGUAGGCUUUGCUGCUAUCUCUUACCCCAUGUCUUUUGAGUACCUUCGUUUCCUCGGGCGGUCCGCCCGCCGAUUGGGACAAUUUAAACCAUUGCAGUUUGCAAUCAGCGUCUGAAAAAAACUUAAUAGUA
rnacentral:misc_RNA from 1 species